rnacentral:lncRNA from 1 species
CAGGGAUUCCAGAGGAACUGGUCCCAAUGGUCUCCUGGUGAGGAGGUGAUGGCCGGAAGAACAUGGCAGAGGGCAAAACAAAACAGCAUUGGGAACAAGCUCUGUUUAAAAGGAGACUUGUGAACAGCAAAGAGUAGAAAGGGUUCUCUUACAACUGAAGCCCAUGGAAGACAAAUGUGUACUGCGUGAGUUUUAAGGCAAUAGGAGUAGUGGGACCUAGGGCACACCAGAGAGCAUAUUAACUCUCAAACUUUUAAAAACAUUAUAUCUGCUGGACACAGUGGCUCACACCUUAAUCCUACAACUUUGGGAGGCCGAGGCGGGCGGGUGUAGCUUGAGCCCAGGAGUUCGAGACCAACCUGGGCAACAUGGCAAAAUCCCGUCCCUACAAAACAAACAAACAAAAAACAAAAUUAGCCAGGCACGGUGAUGCGUACCUGUGGUCCCAGCUACUCAGAGGCUGAGGUGGGAGGAUCGCUUGAGCCCCGGGAGGUUAAGGCUGCAGUGAGCCAUGAUAAUGCCACUGCAUCUCAGCCUGGGCAACAGAGGGAGAACCUGUCUCAAAACAAAAACAAAAACACACCAUACCCAACCACAAUGCAUCUGUCUUAAGUACCAGUACCACACCCCUCUACUCACUACUAAAUAGGUGAGUUCCCAAUCCCUGGUAGCAGGUUUAAGCAUGUUAUAUUAAAGGUCUUAGGCUAGUGACUCAUUCACUCAUUAAACAAAUACUUAUUGUGCAUCUACUAUAAACUAAGUACUGUGCUAGGUACAAAAGCAAAUAAUCUAAGCUCUAUAAACUUUACUUUCUUCAUCAACAAAAUGGAGAUGUUUUAGGCAUCUACUCAUCAUUCUGAGCUCCAUCUUUUGUGACUGUAGUUGGCAGAGCUUUUUAUCAGUUUCUCUAAAUAGCUCUACCAGUCCCUGGUGGAUGCUGGCAUGCCCAAAGGAUCCAUCCUGAUGGCCCUGUCUGCUUACCUUACCUGC